UGGGGCAAGACUGCUGUGUGUGUCCUAGUGAUCUGGCAGAAGAAAUGGGGAGCUAAAUGAAAAUAGCUCCUUAUCAUGAAAUAGCUCCUCGUAAAAUGGGACUGUGACUGCUCCUUUCAGGUUCCUACUCCUGUGGUUAUUUUGUUACACGCAUUUAUAAAACAAAGUUAAUGUUCCCAGUGCUGCUGUUUAAAGAGAAGCACAACUAUUGGAAGCUUGAAAUGAUGUUUUGAAAUGCAGUGGGAAUGUUGGAUUAAUAACCUUGUGACCUCUAUCAGUGAAAUGCAUUCCGGUGUUUGGCAGAAAAGAAAAAGAAAGGAGAUGAACAGUUCAGAGAGUGACAGGAAACCACAGUGCUUUCUGGAGCCUCAAUUUCACUGAUUUUUUUUUUUCUUUUUAAAUUUUAAUAAGCAUUGUUUUUCCCUUCAUGUGGAAGAGUGGGUGACCAUAUCCCAGUGAAGAUUUGUUAGCAGGCCAAGAUCAAGGUAGCUCAGAUAUUUGGGUGACUGCAUUUCUUCCCAUUUUAGCUGGUUUUGGUGUGAAGUUCGUUCUGAGGCAGUGUGACUAAUGAGAAACCUCUGGGGUCAGAUCUUGGGAAAACUUCACUCAUCAGCUGCAGGCAGUGGAUAAGCCUCAUGUGGGUGCAUUACUGCUGGUUUCUCUGGUUUGGGGGGCAAAAUUAUCUUUUCUUGGAGCUUGAGCUUAGAAAUGUCUGUGCUAUGAUCUUCCAUUCUCACUUGGGCCUUCAUUUAGCUAGGAAGAGGGGAGAUUGAUGCUGGUGUUCCUUAUCUGGGCCAGUCAAAUGCAAAACUUUACCAAGCGGUGGCGAUACUUUCCUAGCCGUAAUGCAGCUUCAGAAAUCCUCCACUGUUCAUAAAGUAUGUGCGAAUGUAGCAUUGAGGAUGCUCUGAGGUUUUGCUUUAGUCCCUAAAUAGCAUGGUCUGGAUGGAGCUCACUGUAGCAGUCCUUCCAGGGUCGUAGGCUCUCAUCCUCCUUGGCACUGGUAGGUCAGUUCAGAAGGAGCACUCAGUCUAGACUAAUUCACAUCCUACUGAAUGUGCUUUUUUAGCUUUUUGUCCUUUACACAGACGUGGAACCGUGCCACCUUCUGAAUGAUGACUCUUGCUUUGUGUAAAUGAUAGAAGAUAGUUUUUAAAAGCAAUUGUACAGCUGCACCUCCAUUGAAG
ensembl:lncRNA